rnacentral:rRNA from 1 species
GACGAACGCUGGCGGCGUGCUUAACACAUGCAAGUCGAACGGAAAGGCCCUGCUUUUGUGGGGUGCUCGAGUGGCGAACGGGUGAGUAACACGUGAGUAACCUGCCCUUGACUUUGGGAUAACGUCAGGAAACUGGGGCUAAUACCGGAUAGGAGCUCCUGCUGCAUGGUGGGGGUUGGAAAGUUUCGGCGGUUGGGGAUGGACUCGCGGUUUAUCAGCUUGUUGGUGGGGUAGUGCCUUACCAAGGCUUUGACGGGUAGCCGGCCUGAGAGGGUGCCCGGCAAAAUGGGGACUGAGAUAGGGCCCAGACCCCUCGGGGAGGCAGAAGUGGGGAAUAUUGCAAAAUGGGCGGAGGCCUGAUCCAGCAACGCCGCGUGCGGAAUACCGGCCUUCGGGUUGUAACCCGCUUCAGCCGGUGCCGAAGCGUGAGUGACGGUACUGGGUAAAGAAGCACCGGCUAACUACGUG